GGCAAUGGUGGCUCAGUGGUUAAAACGUUGGACUACUGGUUGGAAGGUCAUGAGUUCAACUCCCAACACUGCCA